rnacentral:rRNA from 1 species
GUUAGUAACACGUGGAUAACCCACCUAUAAGACUGGGAUAACUUCGGGAAACCGGAGCUAAUACCGGAUAAUAUAUUGAACCGCAUGGUUCAAUAGUGAAAGACGGUUUUGCUGUCACUUAUAGAUGGAUCCGCGCCGCAUUAGCUAGUUGGUAAGGUAACGGCUUACCAAGGCAACGAUGCGUAGCCUACCUGAGAGGGUGAUCGGCCACACUGGAACUGAGACACGGUCCAG